GAAAAAGUAAUCAAAUACAAAUACGACGGAAAAGUGGCAUCAGAUGUGGCUGCCACAGCGCACCCACCCUCCCUGUGGUGCCCCUAGUGUCGCGAGGGAGGCAUCACCCAUGUUCUAAGGCCGGAGCCACUGCCAGGCCAGACUACGACCGGUUCAUCUCCCCGCUGGUAAUUGCCUUAGGCCCACAUCAUCUUCAUCUCCAUUCUAAGUCAGGACAAAACCACUACCCGGCCUGGACUGCACCGGCUGCAAGGCGGGAAAUUUGGCCCCGCAGAAAAAUUUAAGCCAAGCGGCUGUAAUUAAUUUAACACCUCUUGUCUCUCCUAAUCACCCUGCUGGAGCUCCAAGAAAACACAAAAGGGACAGACCCUGAGUUUUGCGCAAGGCCGGACUCAAGCUGCCGGAAUCACGAAGACAUGCGGAAACGGACGAGGGCGCGGCCAGUAAGCCGGCUGCGGGUCGCGAAGGACAACUCGGGACCCUUAUAAAGGGCGCGCGUCGGAGUGGAAACCAGUAUUACGCCCUGCCUCGGCCACUACAGACCGUGACGUCGGAGAUGCCGCGUGGUAUGGGAGUCGCGUCGUGGUGCUGCUCGGGUUCUACGUGCCCGGAACGGACUCACCGAUGUAACGUUGAAUUUUGUGUGGUUAAAUAACCUAACUGCCUGCGGCGGUGUUGGUUGAUGGUGAUGGUUGUUACUGCUGCCUGCGGCUGUUGCUGCUGCCUGCGGCGGUUUCUGCUGCUACUGUUGCCUGCUGCUGCUGUUGCUACUGUUGCUACUGCUCCUGCUACUGCUGCUACUGCUGCUACUGCUGCUACUGCUGCCUGCUGCUGCUACUGGUGGCUGAGUACUACCACGAGGGCUGCUGCCCUUCCUCCGAGAAAUUUGCGAAGAACGAAGAAAAUCUAAGAAAACUGCCGGGGCCCUAUGUACUAGGGUACCCGGUGUACCUAAAAUAAAUAAAUUUCCACUUUAUUUCCACACG